GGCACAAAUUUGAAGUAGGAUAGUCUGGUAGGAUCGGCUAACCCCACUAAACUACUGUACUUCAAGUUUGUGUCC
rfam:Haemonchus placei strain MHpl1 genome assembly, scaffold: HPLM_scaffold0000668